UUAGAGUUUGAUCCUGGCUCAGAUUAAACGCUAGCGGUAUGCUUUACACAUGCAAGUUAAACUUUUUUUUGAAAAAAAAGUAGCGAACGGGUGAGUAACAUAUUAUUAUAUACCUAUAUGUUAUUGGAAAAAAUAAUGAAAGUUAUUGUAAACCAAAAUAAGGUUAUUUAAUGUAAAAUAAUGAAAAAUAAUAAAAUAUUUUAUUAUUGCUUAUAGAUUAUUUAAUAUCAGAUUAGUUUGUUGGUAAUAUAAAAGAUUACCAAGACAUUUAUCUGUAGCUGUUCUGAGAGGAAGUACAGCCACAUUGGGACUGAGACAAGGCCCAAACUCCUACGGGAGGCAGCAGUGGGGAAUAUUGGACAAUGAGCGAAAGCUUGAUCCAGCAAUAUCGCGUGUGCGAUGAAGGUUUUACUGUAAAGCACUUUUUUUUAGGAUUAAGACAUAAUGUUUGAAAGUACUAUUAGAAUAAGCACCGGCUAACUACGUGCCAGCAGCCGCGGUAAUACGUAGGGUGCGAGCGUUAAUCGGAAUUAUUGGGCGUAAAGCGUGCGUAGGUGGUUUUUUAAGAAAAAAGUUAAAAAUUAAAGCUCAACUUUAAUAAGCUUUUUUUACUAAUAAACUAGAGUAAAAAAGAGGAGAUUAGAAUUCUAUGUGUAGUAGUGAAAUGCAUAAAUAUAUAGAAGAAUACCAAUAGCGAAGGCAAAUCUCUGGUUUAAUACUGACACUGAUGCACUAAAGCGUGGGGAGCAAACAGGAUUAGAUACCCUGGUAGUCCACGCCCUAAACGAUGUCAACUAAUUAUUAGAUUAUUUUUUAGUAGUAAAGCUAACGCGUUAAGUUGACCGCCUGGGGAGUACGAUCGCAAGAUUAAAACUCAAAGGAAUUGACGGGGACCUGCACAAGCGGUGGAUGAUGUGGAUUAAUUCGAUGCUACACGAAAAACCUUACCUACUCUUGACAUGUAUAGAAUUUAUUUGAAAAAAUAAAGUGCUUUUUUAAAAAAAGAACUAUAACACAGGUGCUGCAUGGCUGUCGUCAGCUCGUGUCGUGAGAUGUUGGGUUAAGUCCUAUAACGAGCGAAACCCUUAUUUAAUGUUGCUACUUUUUGGGCACACUUUAAAAACAGCUAAUGUAAAAUUAGAGGAAGGAAAGGACGACGUCAAGUCCUCAUGGCCUUUAUGAGUAGGGCUUCACACGUCAUACAAUGGUUAAAACAAUAAGAAGCAAUUUUGUAAAAAUGAGCAAAUCUAUAAAUUUAACCUCAGUUCGGAUUGCACUAUGCAACUCUAGUGCAUAAAGUUGGAAUCGCUAGUAAUCGCAGAUCAGAAUGCUGCGGUGAAUACGUUCUCAGGUCUUGUACACACCGCCCGUCACACCAUGGAAGUGGGUGUUGUUGGAAAUAAUCUUAAAUGAAUUAUCAAUACGAAACUCAUAACUGGGGUGAAGUCGUAACAAGGUAGCUGUACCGGAAGGUGCGGCUGGAU
rnacentral:rRNA from 1 species